AAUCAAAACAGCUGUGUGCCUACGAUAUGCUUUACCACCCGCCAGAUUACAAUCCAAAAGCCGCCCGAUCAGAUCGACAGGAACCUAAAAUAAUAAAAAGGAAUAUUUGGCAACAGGUGGAAACGACAAUCCUCAUAUGCGUAUAUACAGUGUGCUCGAAUGGGCAACACUUAUCACCGAAGGAAAACCAAAUAUAUGUGAUUAAUACAAUUUA